rnacentral:rRNA from 1 species
GUGAGGAAUAUUGGUCAAUGGGCGAGAGCCUGAACCAGCCAAGUCGCGUGAAGGAAGAAGGAUCUAUGGUUCGUAAACUUCUUUUGCAGGGGAAUAAAGUGCGGGACGUGUCCUGUUUUGUAUGUACCCUGAGAAUAAGGAUCGGCUAACUCCGUGCCAGCAGCCGCGGUAAUACGGAGGAUCCGAGCGUUAUCCGGAUUUAUUGGGUUUAAAGGGUGCGUAGGUGGUUUGAUAAGUCAGCGGUGAAAGUUUGCAGCUUAACUGUAAAAAUGCCGUUGAAACUGUCGGACUUGAGUGUAAAUGAGGUAGGCGGAAUGCGUGGUGUAGCGGUGAAAUGCAUAGAUAUCACGCAGAACUCCGAUUGCGAAGGCAGCUUACUAAGCUACAACUGACACUGAAGCACGAAAGCGUGGAGAUCAAACAGGAUUAGAUACCCUGGUAGUCC